UGGGGAAUAUUGCACAAUGGAGGGAACUCUGAUGCAGCGACGCCGCGCGAACGAAGAAGGCUUUCGAGUCGUAAAGUUCUUUUAUAUGGGAAGAUAAUGACGGUACCAUAAGAAAAAGCCCCGGCUAACUACGUGCCAGCAGCCGCGGUAAUACGUAGGGGGCUAGCGUUGUCCGGAAUCACUGGGCGUAAAGGGUUCGCAGGCGGAAAUGCAAGUCAGGUGUAAAAGGCAGUAGCUUAACUACUGUAAGCAUUUGAAACUGCAUAUCUUGAGAAGAGUAGAGGUAAGUGGAAUUUUUAGUGUAGCGGUGAAAUGCGUAGAUAUUAAAAAGAAUACCGGUGGCGAAGGCGGCUUACUGGGCUCAUUCUGACGCUGAGGAACGAAAGCGUGGGUAGCAAACAGG
rnacentral:rRNA from 1 species